UACGUAGGGAGCAAGCGUUGUCCGGAAUCAUUGGGCGUAAAGCGCGCGUAGGUGGCUUCGUAAGUCCGUUGUGAAAGUCAAAGGCUCAACCUUUAAAAGCCGAUGGAUACUGUGAAGCUAGAGUACGGAAGAGGCGAGUGGAAUUCCUGGUGUAGCGGUGGGAUGCGCAGAUAUCAGGAGGAACACCAAUAGCGAAGGCAGCUCGCUGGGACGUUACUGACACUGAGGCGCGAAAGCGUGGGGAGCGAACAGG
rnacentral:rRNA from 1 species